AAAUUUCCAGUGAGAAGGAAAGUACAUUUUAUUAAUUUUCAAGAGAGACUCUGGUUGGUGUGAAGAGUUAAUGAGGUAAAAUGGAAAAUGGCCUUUGAGGGUAAUUGUCGAUAAGUAGGCAAUUUUCGGGUAGCUCUCCGUUAUCAGGAGCACCAAUCAAUUGGUUGGGUUUAAGGAAGGCGUAAGCUUUCAAAAAAAGGUGGUACCACGAGCAAUCGUCCUUUUA
rnacentral:ncRNA from 1 species